UACGUAGGGUGCGAGCGUUAAUCGGAAUUACUGGGCGUAAAGUGUGCGCAGGUGGCCGCGCAAGUCGAGUGUGAAAUCCCCGAGCUUAACUUGGGAAUUGCGCUCGAAACUACGUGGCUCGAGUGUGGCAGAGGAAGGUGGAAUUCCACGUGUAGCGGUGAAAUGCGUAGAUAUCGUGAGGAACACCAGAGGCGAAGGCGACUACCUGGACAAUUGCUGACACUCAGGCACGAAAGCAUGGGGAGCAAAAGGG
rnacentral:rRNA from 1 species